rnacentral:tRNA from 1 species
AAUAAGAUGCCUGAAUAAAGGAUUAUUAUGAUAGAAUAAAUUAUGUAUUUUAUAUACUCUUAUUG